rnacentral:tRNA from 1 species
UGGCUGAGUUGGUAGGGCAUGGUGUUUGCAACGCCAGGGUUGUGGGUUCAAUUCCCAC